UACGAGGGCCCCAAGCGUUAUCCGGAUUUAUUGGGCGUAAAGCGUGCGCAGGUGGUUUGUUAAGUUAAUGGUUAAAGCCCGGGGCUCAACUCCGGAUCAGCCAUUAAUACUGAUGAACUAGAGGACGGGAGAGGCAAGCGGAAUUGCCGGUGUAGUGGUAAAAUACGUUAAUAUCGGCAGGAACACCAAAUGCGAAGGCAGCUUGCUGGAACGAACCUGACGCUGAUGCACGAAAGCGUGGGGAGCAAAG
rnacentral:rRNA from 1 species